rnacentral:rRNA from 1 species
GGGCCCGCACAAGCGGAGGAACAUGUGGUUUAAUUCGAUGAUACGCGAGGAACCUUACCCAGGCUUAAAUUGCAGAUGAAUAUAGUGGAAACAUUAUAGCCUUCGGGCAUCUGUGAAGGUGCUGCAUGGUUGUCGUCAGCUCGUGCCGUGAGGUGUCGGCUUAAGUGCCAUAACGAGCGCAACCCUUAUUGAUAGUUACUAACAGGUUAAGCUGAGGACUCUAUCGAGACUGCCGUCGUAAGAUGCGAGGAAGGUGGGGAUGACGUCAAAUCAGCACGGCCCUUACGUCUGGGGCUACACACGUGUUACAAUGGGGGGUACAGAAGGUCGCUACCUGGCAACAGGAUGCUAAUCCCAAAAGCCUCUCUCAGUUCGGAUUGGAGUCUGCAACCCGACUCCAUGAAGCUGGAUUCGCUAGUAAUCGCGCAUCAGCCACGGCGCGGUGAAUACGUUCCCGGGCCUU